rnacentral:rRNA from 1 species
GACGAACGCUGGCGGCGUGCUUAACACAUGCAAGUCGAACGGAAAGGCCCUGCUUUUGUGGGGUGCUCGAGUGGCGAACGGGUGAGUAACACGUGAGUAACCUGCCCUUGACUUUGGGAUAACUUCAGGAAACUGGGGCUAAUACCGGAUAGGAGCUCCUGCUGCAUGGUGGGGGUUGGAAAGUUUCGGCGGUUGGGGAUGGACUCGCGGCUUAUCAGCUUGUUGGUGGGGGAGUGGCUUACCAAGGCUUUGACGGGUAGCCGGCCUGAGAGGGUGACCGGCCACAUUGGGACUGAGAUACGGCCCAGACUCCUACGGGAGGCAGCAGUGAGGAAUAUUGCACAAUGGGCGGAAGCCUGAUGCAGCAACGCCGCGUGCGGGAUGACGGCCUUCGGGUUGUAAACCGCUUUCGCCUGUGACGAAGCGUGAGUGACGGUAAUGGGUAAAGAAGCACCGGCUAACUACGUG